CACGCCUCGAAGCCUCGGCACAUCACGUAACAUCACUAGUUAUUUUAAUAUUUGCUAAAGUUGAUAUUUUUCUGAUAUCAACAUUUGUGUUCAUUCGGAAACAUUUAAGUGUGACACGACGGGACAAACAGAGGAAAUCUGUAAGGGGGGGCGGGACGCCACUGAAAGAUGCGCACGCAGCAGCUCAGCCACAGGCGGGAGGAUCCGGCGCUCUGGGUGACAUCUCACGAGCGGCCUUGACCCAAAAGAACCUGACCUCGCUCUCUAAAUCAACACGUCCCCUCCGGAUCCAGAUCGCUCCGUCCAGAGCUGGAAAGACUUUCCUGAGGACCACCGCCGAGCAGGCUUGCCAAACGCCUCGAUCGGGGCAAAGGAACAUGAAGAGAAGCAGCAUGUUAGGGAUGGAGACGGGUGGAUGCACCAUGACAACGCAGCAACGUAUUCUCCUGACUUAAAUGAUGUAAAGGGGCAUUCUCAUGGCAGCACACACUGCUGACAUCUGUUUCAGAGUCGUGUUGAAUAAGUCUUUAAGUAUUUGUCUGCCGUAACGUAAUUUAGAUGUACUGUCCAUCAUCAAAGUCAGCUCAGCCUGCCUGCUUUGAUCUUCUCUGUAUUGGUUUUGGCAUGCUAGAUGCUUAGACUUGUCCGAUCGGAGCCAGUUUCCAGAAUUUCCCUGUGGUUUUUGUUUGAUGGCAGGAGCGUGACAUCUGCAACUGUGUGCUCAUGAGAUGAAAUUUGAGUCAAAAGAAAUUACAUUCUUCACCAGACUACUAAAAGGCUCUGGGACAGAAACUAAAGACAGCAUUGGGGCUGAUAAGACUCUUGGCUGUCUGCCCUUAAACACAACAACAACAACAAAACCCAUCUGGCUCGUGUAUCCUUGCAUGCAAAUGUUGCCAUGUCACUCUGGAAAAUAAAAAAA